UUGCAAAAAUAAAAGAAACAAAAUAGGAGUGUAUUCUCUCCUCUUCCUUAUACAGAGGAAUAAAUGAGACGGCGGGUAUCUCUGCACGCAGAAACUGAUGCUAUAUUGUACACCUAAUGUUGCCAAGUCGAGGCAGACUCAUUCGAACACAGAAGAAGUAUUCAGCCUCUGCAGGACCAAAUUGACAGCUCUUUAAAGGCGGCUGACGGAAAGCAGCAUUAAUUAAGUCAUUGCCGGACUGUAAUUGUGUUAAGAAGUAAAAAUCUAAUAUGAGAAAAGGGUCCCAGGGUGCCUCCAGCGUUCCACUCAGGAUAUAUAGUGUGGUGCCUCUUGUCCUCAUGAUUGAAAAUGGAUGUUGGAACUCUCUGGCCAUCGCAUUUGCUUUCGGAGCAGUAAGACGGCAGCUUUACAUUUCAUGGG
rnacentral:lncRNA from 1 species